UACAGAGAGGGCAAGCGUUAUUCGGAAUUAUUGGACGUAAAGGACGCGUAGGCGGCUUUGCAAGUGACGGGUGAAAUCCCUCGACUUAACCGAGGAACUGCCUGUCAAACUGCAUGGCUUGAGACCGGGAGAAGUGAGUGGAAUUCCCAGUGUAGCGGUGAAAUGCGUAGAUAUUGGGAGGAACACCAGUGGCGAAGGCGGCUCACUGGCCCGGAACUGACGCUGAGGUGCGAAAGCGUGGGGAGCAAACAGG
rnacentral:rRNA from 1 species